rnacentral:lncRNA from 1 species
CUCCCUCUGCUAUUUUUCUUGGUCCUCUUGGACCUUGUAUCAUUUCAUGCUUUUUGAUAAAAUGAUGUUUAUUUUAUAUUUCAUCAUCUACUUUUCUUCUUCCUUCGUUCUCUUUACUCUUUUCCUUGGCCUCUUGGACCCUAUAUUUUUGAUAGGAUUAUGUUUAUUUUAUAUGUUAUCAUCAUUUUUGUAAAACGUUUUUUCUUUUCCCUUCUU